ACGCUGGCGGCGUGCCUAUUACAUGCAAGUCGAGCGAACAGAUAAGGAGCUUGCUCCUUUGACGUUAGCGGCGGACGGGUGAGUAACACGUGGGUAACCUACCUAUAAGACUGGAAUAACUCCGGGAAACCGGGGCUAAUGCCGGAUAACAUUUAGAACCGCAUGGUUCUAAAGUGAAAGAUGGUUUUGCUAUCACUUAUAGAUGGACCCGCGCCGUAUUAGCUAGUUGGUAAGGUAAUGGCUUACCAAGGCAACGAUACGUAGCCGACCUGAGAGGGUGAUCGGCCACACUGGAACUGAGACACGGUCCAGACUCCUACGGGAGGCAGCAGUAGGGAAUCUUCCGCAAUGGGCGAAAGCCUGACGGAGCAACGCCGCGUGAGUGAUGAAGGGUUUCGGCUCGUAAAACUCUGUUAUUAGGGAAGAACAAACGUGUAAGUAACUGUGCACGUCUUGACGGUACCUAAUCAGAAAGCCACGGCUAACUACGUGCCAGCAGCCGCGGUAAUACGUAGGUGGCAAGCGUUAUCCGGAAUUAUUGGGCGUAAAGCGCGCGUAGGCGGUUUCUUAAGUCUGAUGUGAAAGCCCACGGCUCAACCGUGGAGGGUCAUUGGAAACUGGGAGACUUGAGUGCAGAAGAGGAAAGUGGAAUUCCAUGUGUAGCGGUGAAAUGCGCAGAGAUAUGGAGGAACACCAGUGGCGAAGGCGACUUUCUGGUCUGUAACUGACGCUGAUGUGCGAAAGCGUGGGGAUCAAACAGGAUUA
rnacentral:rRNA from 1 species